rnacentral:rRNA from 1 species
UGGGGAAUAUUGGACAAUGGGCGAAAGCCUGAUCCAGCCAUGCCGCGUGUGUGAAGAAGGUCUUCGGAUUGUAAAGCACUUUAAGUUGGGAGGAAGGGCAUUAACCUAAUACGUUAGUGUUUUGACGUUACCGACAGAAUAAGCACCGGCUAACUCUGUGCCAGCAGCCGCGGUAAUACAGAGGGUGCAAGCGUUAAUCGGAAUUACUGGGCGUAAAGCGCGCGUAUGUGGUUUGUUAAGUUGGAGGUGAAAUCCCCGGGCUCAACCUGGGAACUGCAUUCAAAACUGACUGACUAGAGUAUGGUAGAGGGUGGUGGAAUUUCCUGUGUAGCGGUGAAAUGCGUAGAUAUAGGAAGGAACACCAGUGGCGAAGGCGACCACCUGGACUAAUACUGACACUGAGGUGCGAAAGCGUGGGGAGCAAACA